AUUGAACGCUGGCGGCAGGCCUAACACAUGCAAGUCGAACGAGUGGCGGAUGGGUGAGUAAUGUCUGGGAAACUGCCUGAUGGCGGGGGAUAACUACUGGAAACGGUAGCUAAUAUCGCAUACCAUCAGCUGUGCCCAGAUGGGAUUAGCUAGUAGGUGGGGUAAUGGCUCACCUAGGCCACGAUCCCUAGCUGGUCCGAGAGGAUGACCAUCCAGACUGAAACUCAGACACGGUCCAGACACCUAGAGGAAGAAGCAGUAGGGAAAAUUGCACAAGGGGCGGAAACCGGAUGCAGCCAUAAGGCAUGUGUGAAGAAGGCCUUCGGAUUGUAAAGAACAUUCAGCGAGGAGGCGUUACUCGCAGAAGAAACAGCGACGAACUCCGUGCCAGCAGCCGCGGUAAUUC
rnacentral:rRNA from 1 species